CUUAUUGCAGUCUAUUUUAAAUUAAUGGUUGCUUAAGUUUGAACACAUUCUAAAAUCGCUAUUAUUUUUAACUUACCACCCUCCACUUUAUGUUUUUGUCAUUAUUUUUUACUUCUUUUAUGUAUAGUGUGAGUGUCUUCUGAUGAUCAGAGAAGAGUUAACUGGUGGUGGCCUCUUGAUUCCUUUGGAUUGCAGCUAACAAGUAUUUUCCUUCACCUCAAUUUCCAGUGACUGCCUCAGAGCUCCCUGGAAGCACCAGGAGAGCAGGGACCUGGAAAUCGUGCUCCAAAUGCUACGUCCAGCACAUAGCAUUUCUAAAGAGACACUUAACGAAUGAAUGAACCCCAGAAGGGGCAGCUAGGAACUCAAGAACAAAUGACAGGAAGAAAUAAAGGGAAAUUGAAGAUGAAAUAGACAUGUGCACCUCCCCACCCAACAAACUUUUAAACAGGGGACUUGAACUCUGCUGAUGGGAUGUAUAAUUCAGAGUCAGCAGGGGACUCCUGGAUCCUCAGAGACCUAGGCUCAGAUCACCAAUUCCAGUUUGUCUGAGUUCUUCCUGUCCCAGACUGUAUACUGAGGGGUUUGCACCUUCAGCACUGACCUAGGCUCUUCUCUUACAACUGCUGUCCCCACUGGCUACCAUUCUCCAAAAGAAUGCAAAAUCCAUUCUUUUCACCAACUUGCACAAAGGCAUAAAAGGUCCAGUUUCAACAGUCUUUUCCUUCUUUUUGGUAAACUUUUACUGAAGGUUA